rnacentral:rRNA from 1 species
UACGGGGGGGGGCAAGCGUUGUUCGGAAUUACUGGGCGUAAAGGGCUCGUAGGCGGCCAACUAAGUCGGACGUGAAAUCCCUCGGCUUAACCGGGGAACUGCGUCUGAUACUGGAUGGCUUGAAUCCGGGAGAGGGAUGCAGAAUUCCAGGUGUAGCGGUGAAAUGCGUAGAUAUCUGGAGGAAUACCGGUGGCGAAGGCGGCAUCCUGGACCGGCAUUGACGCUGAUGAGCGAAAGCUAGGGGAGCAAACAGGG